rnacentral:lncRNA from 1 species
GUUUAUUUAUAUAAAAGGGACAUGAGUUUUAUUCUGCAUGCUUGAUCAGAAGAAUACAGGAAGUUGUGCUUGUGCCUCUUGUUAUUCCUUCACAUCAGGAACAUUGUUCACAGAAACUUCUAGUACAUAAAGGGAAUGAUGAAGCCCUGCAAACCUUAUGUCUUGAAUUAUUCAUGUUUGUUGCCUUGACCCAAAACCAAGAAGUUAAUUGGCCUCAGUGGUAUGUGAACACUUUUGUUGGAGACAGAGGGAUUUAUUUGGUCAGCAUCGCCUGUGGUUUCACUUGAAUUUUGAAUUAAAGACAGUGAAUAAAGCAUAAUGACAACAAAGGUACUGCAUACUUUAUAAUGUUGAGGUAAAUGAUUAAUCGUAAGCCAUACUUCAUUUUUAAAGGUGAUUUGGAUCAUAUUUUGUCCAGUAUGACAAUGAAAUUUUUAGGCAGGUAUAGUUAAACUGGAAAAUUUUAAUCAAGUUGUUUUUUUCCUAUGAAGAUGGUUGAUUUUAGAAUUGAAUUGUUAAUGUACCUCUGUACAUUUUACUUAGAUAAAUAUCAGAUAGUGUU